AUUGAACGCUGGCGGCAGGCCUAACACCUGCAAGUCGAACGUGUGUCCGACGUGUGAGUAAUUUCUGGGAAACUGCCUGAUGGAGGGGGAUAACUACCGGAAACGGUAGCUAAUACCGCAUACCAUCGGAUGUGUCCAGAUGGGAUUAGCUAGUUGGUGGGGUAACGGCUCACCUAGGCGACGAUCCCUAGCUGGGCUGAGAGGAUGACCAGCCACACUGGAACUGAGACACGGUCCAGACUCCGACGGGAGGCAGCAGUGGGGAAUAUUGCGCAAUGGGCGCAAGCCUGACGGAGCCAUGCCGCGUGAAUGAAGAAGGUCUUCGUGUUGUAAAGCACUUUCAGCGAGGAGGCGGUACUCAAAGAAGAAGCAACGGCUAACUACGUGCCAGCAGCCGCGGUAAUUC
rnacentral:rRNA from 1 species